rnacentral:misc_RNA from 1 species
CCGUCGCGACGCAGCUGACAGUCGGUGGCCGAGCAUCGCGACGCGCGCAUUGAAUAAACGUGCUACAAUUUUUAUUCGUGACACGCGACGAAUCUUUCCUCGCUUUUUUUUUUUGCCCUCCCCCUUUUAGAGAAGAAAUCUGUCUAGUAAACCGCGAUAAAUUAAUCUCGAUUGCGAGUAAACGGGUUUUGGGUGGCCGUUUUCUCUUCCCUAUCCCGAUCGUGGACCACCGGGAACUACGUGGGACGAAAGGAACACGUCGCAACUCGAAACUGCAGAAAAUGUCCUGCUGUCUAUCACGCGGACAACACUGAUGGUGUUGGGAGGUCUAGGACGCAGGAUGUCGAGCGGCGACAAGGCUUCACCAGGCCUGACCAUCGAUCGCGCCGCUUUUCUGCUUCUGCGGGUGAAGAAGGCCUUUAGGAAGAAGAAGCAACAGCGAAAGGAGAAAAACAUCCCGACGGUAGAAUGCAAAACGGAAGGCAGAGGUGCACGAGGUCCUGGGGGACGCCCUGCCCCCCUCCUACGUUCCAGAACUUUGCCAGCCAUAGUAGCGCCCGGUUUGAGUAUCCUUCAGGCGCAGAUCGAUGCUCGUUACGUUAAUAAUGCUGCAUCAACUGGUUUAUCCGUUCCACCCGUGGACGGUGGAAGUUCGACGAAACGUGGAAGUACAGCCUCCCAUUGCAGGUUGCUCGCGCCGAGGAUAUCCUUCACGGACGAAACGAUAGAACGUCGCGUCUCGGACUCCGGCCCACCAACCAGAGAAUCCUCGAAGGAACACUCGACAAGAAGCGGGAGGCUGAGUACCUCCAGCAUCGGUGGUUCUCAACCUUUGACCAGAUUGGCGAGGCUCUUGAACCAAAGGCCAAGCUUCAUUCCGAGCGAUGAAAUUCCACGAAGGCUCUCCUGGGAAAGACGAGACUGCAGCACGACCAGUUCCUGCCUUCCGAGAAGUAGCUCGAUCGACAGUGUGGCAGAGUGGAACAUCGCUGGAGGGGUGGGAACUAUCAAUGGUAGCAAUACGGUGAACGCUGGGAGCAGCUAUGGGCUUUUCGCUGAUCAACCACCACCGAGAAGGAGUCCGAGUCCUCUGUUAGGCGCCAGAGGCGACAGACUCAGCCUCGUCUCGCCUAAUAUUGGAAGAAGGGUGAAAGGUCACCGUGCGGUGUUGGAGCUGUACUCUUUGCAAGGGAUGGAGUUCCUGGAGGGUUUCGGGAAGAAAAAACAGCAGCCUAAUCAACAAUCGAACAAUAUAUCGUCGGUGCACAUCAAUCCCCUUACGGCACAGUCUCUCAACAUACACCUGCAUGCUCUUUUCGCCGCUGUGGAGCAUGGACACCUGGACAAAGCCAGAACGAUUUUAGAGUCGACGGACGUAGACGUGAACAGCGUGAACAGCGACGGCCUGUCACCCCUGGAUGUUGCGGUGCUCAGCAACAAUAGGCCGCUUGCAAAAAUGCUGGUCGCGUUCGGUGCACAAGAGGGUAACCAGUUCAAAUCUCCGGAGUCCCUGGGCAGUCAUUUGGCUUCGUUGCUGUUGGAGGCGGAACACAGAGUUCAAGAACUCGGCGGGAGUACUUCCGGUAGCGGCGGCACUACCCUUCUCGAACCACCGACCAGUCAUAGAUCAAGCUUCUCGUCGCAGCACAACAAUCUCACGGGAUGCGGUGGUAGCGCGGAGGACAAGCAACUCGCGUUGUGGGAGAGAAGAGCUAGAGCCCUUAGAAAAAUGUUGCUCGGAUUCGAUCAAGCGAGACCACCGGACAUGCCCUUCUUGGUGGCUGUGGACGUGACGGGAACAAAUUCGGUGACCGUGAGAUUCCAGGAGCCAGAUUCCCACGAUUCUCCUAUCUGCACGAAAUUCAAGGUCCAAUGGAGUAUCAAAGAGGACUUCUCGGUGAUCUGCGGGGAAAGGGAGGUUCUGGAUAUGAAGCAGAGGGAAUGCAGGAUCGACGAUCUGAUUCAAGGGCAGAAGUAUUAUUUUCGAGCGGCUGCCGGCAAUUUAAAGGGUUACAGCAGGUUCAGGAAUUCGACUCCUGCCCACGUUACGCCCAGUAGUUGGAGGGACAUCGACGGCCGAGUGCCGAGGUUUGCUGGCCGAUUGGAACAAUUGAAUACUUUAUUCACGGACAUAAGACGGCCAGAGUACACCCAAGAGACGCCGGCCGUGCAGAGGCGUAAUCACAAGAAAAAAACAACGAUAAAGCAGCUCUUCACGGCGACGAGCAAGUUCCAGAAGAACUUGAGGCGCGGUGUCUUCCUCGCUUGCUUGCUCUACCACGAGGAUAAAGUGUUGGUGACAAACGAGGAUUUCUUGCCUGUGAUCGAAGUCGACGAGACUUAUCCUAGCUGUAUUUACAACGAUUUCCAUUGGCUUAUGAAAGUUGGUUGUACGUGGGACGAUGUUAAGAUUCUUCGUCAAGAUAUGGAGAAAAGUCACAGCAGCUCGACCAAUCAUUUCAGGAUAAAACUCUUACAAGCUGCUGCGCAAAUGCAGGCAGCACUAUGUAUACAGGAUCUUGGUCAAUUGUAUCAUAAACCUAUCAGAGAUGUUCAAGGGACUUUGGUUUUCUCUACAGUGAACUACGUAAAAUCGCCAAAAUUGAUAUCGGUGUUGAACAGCAGAUGGUUGCCGCUCAGCAAAGUCACGAAGAAAGUGAUUAUUCACGAAGACAGUAACGUAGCGGAUAUUUUAAUAGCCAGUAUACAGGAGCAGAUGACUUAUCAUCAAGUUAGCAGUAUCAAAUUAUCUAAAGGACUUUAUCUUGGUUAUUUGAAGAUGCAGAGUAGCGUCGAUCUUAUUCAAGUUGUUGUACCCGCGAAAUCACCCAACGUUUUGCCUCAUUGCAAGAUCCGUGACAAUCCACACGUUUCUGCCGAAGAAUGGGAUUAUUUGAAAAGGAUAACGCGCAUUCACGCAUCAGACGCAUCGGUUAAAGAUUGCGAAGAAAAAGAAAACGUAACAAACGAGUGCCAAGGUACGGAACAGCAAAAAUUGUUUGUCGAUCUGGUCGCUGCUACGGCAAGACGUUUGUUCAAUUACAUGGAAAUUAGCCCCGAAGAUUCCUUGCUCCAUCGACUCUACGACGCUGAAGUUAUCGAUCUGACUCACGAUGUAUCCUUUCUGAUCGCUGUGCCUCCUGCAGAAACCGCUUGUUGCGUGCCUGGAACCAGGGAAAUCCUUCUACAACGUGGCGAUCUUCUGUCCUUGCCUAUUCAAGUAUUCGAAAUGGUCCAUCUGAAUACUUAUCAGAAGGAUGUGAUCAACAGAUACUCAAGAUUAAGUUGCAUUCUGGAACUCGACACAGCGCAAGCACAAUACAACCACAGAGAAGCUUUUAGCUCUCUGGAGUUAAGCGUGGCGAAGGAUAAAUUGGCCAGGCUGCAGGAUCUUCAGACUCAAGUGAACACCGUGUGGAAAGGAGCUAGGUGGCUCAUAGAUGUGAUCACGUUCGCUAGAGAUCGAGGCUUUUCGCAGCAGAGCGGCUCGUCACAAGUUGGGAUUUCGAUGAAGCAUUUGCUGAGCCUCGACAGAAACAAAAGCAACAAUAACAGCAACAGUCUGAAGAGGAGUUUGCUCCAAUUACCGCCACGCGAUCCGAAGUUGGUUAAAUCUAGUCCAGGUCGAGGCAGUUGGCCAGGGCCUAACAUGUCCAAUUCUUCCUCGAAUCUACUCACCACCGAAUUCAGUAAAAGCGAACAACAAUUGCCCAGUGGCCAGUACAUUCGAAAAGGCAGCAACACUUCGAACGUGUCGACCGGCUCGGAACCCCCAAAGUCCUCCCUACCCAUGAGUAGCGCCAGCAAUCUUAGCAACGCAACCAGCGCUGGCAGCAACAACCAUCUGGUACCGUUGCAGAACACCAGGUUACCGCCCUCCAAAUCCGAGGACACUUUGAUCCUAACGAAAUACAAACACAGUCCUAGAAAUAGAUCGGCUACGAUCACAUCCGCCUCGGCCAGCACCAGUCCUUUACUCAGCAUAAAGCCCAUCAUCUACGGUGGCUCGCUCUUAAGCGUGUCAACAGCAAUGACGAAUACGACAAGUCUGUUGAGCGUCAGCAACAACACCAAUUCCGAUAGUUUGCAUUCGCUCAGUAGCGAUGAAUAUUCCACGCCUAACUCGAGUGUCUGCAUCAAGAGUGGACACGCGAAGAGCAAAUCGACCAAACCCACCGCUACUGUCGCGGCCACGGCGACUACUGGUUCGUUGGAGAGCCAAUUGGAGGAGGAGAAGGACGAGGCGACGAUGAUGCCGGCUCCUCUGCCAGGCAUUCUUCAGGGAACACAAGUCUAACCCGAUUGUAGUUAAAAACAGCUCACUUGGUCUUCUAGUGCAGACCGAUGUAGCGGACAUAUGAGUUUACGCGGCCUACGAAACCGGUCUGGCUUCCGGAACCAGCCUCAAAUUACACGUUACCCCGAGGACCACAGCCAGGGAAGUUGUGAAUCUAGUUGUGAAGCAGUUGAAUAUGGCGGUAGUUUUAAAAGGCCAAGAAGGCCCUGUUUACACGGCUGACGAGCUGCCAAAUUUUUGUUUGGUGGCUGUGAUUGGUGCUAGAGAGCGUUGCCUGAGGGAUGAUUUCAAACUGCUGCAACUUCAGAACCCCUGGAAAAAGGGUAGAUUGUACGUGAGGCAGAAACAAGACGUCCUUGCAGCCCUUGAGCACAGCAGCAAGCAUACCGCGUAUUUAUAGCAUAAGUAACGAAGAGAAAGAAAGAAAGAAACAAAAUGUGAUCGCGCGGUUGACGAUAUCCAUUAAUGUAAGGAACUGCUGCGUUUCAUUAAUAAUUGGCGAUCAAAAGCCAAAGAUCACUUAGUAUGAUGCAUUCUGUGUCUCGUAAGAUUUAAGAUUUUAGUUAAAUAAAUAUCUUUUUCUUUUAUAUUUCUUUCCUCUUUUUCGUUCAUUUUUAACACAGGAUAUAUAAAGAAUGUAAAGAUCUCCCAAUCGGUUAACGAGACACAGGAUACAUCGAGAUGUACAUAAAACAAACGCUUGGCUACAAGAAAAAAUUUUCAGUUGUAUCUUUCGAGGCUCUAAUUAAAUUACACGUAAUUAGAUAGGGAAAUGAAAGAGAGGAAAGACGAUCGUCUUAAAGGGCGAGAAUUAAAAAUUACGCGAAUCCAGAGUACAUUCCAACAAAGUUUCGAUCCGACGUAAUGUAAUUUCACGCUGAUGGAUUAGAAUAGCGUUGCAAGAAAAUGGAUAAUACUCAAGGUAUAUCGUAUCGUUAUAUUUUAGAUAUCGAUCUCAGUGUUUUGCUCGAUAUAUUAUCGUUUUGCACGCGUCUCCUAUUAUAAAUUCGUCAGAUGCUUAAGAGAUCUCAUUGUUAUCCCAACAAUUCGACGUGUCCGGGUGAUGCGCAACGUUCUUCUUAUUUUUGUAUCACAAAUUAUCUUUGUUCUUUCGUAAAAAUUGCUAAUUGUUCCGAUAAAAUAUAAUCUUGGACACGUCGAACGAAACUGAGAGCACAAAUUUGCGAAGAACAGACAAGAUUUUAUAUUUUGUAUUUUUAAAUCUAAUCAUAUCCGAGAAUUUAUUUCAACGAGUAAAUUCUACUUGUCUAAGCCUUUUAUUCGAGAGAUACGAUUUCUUCUCAUCGAUCUUUUCUUCCGCGUUCUAUUUUCAUUAUUUCGAUCCAUGAAAAGAUUUUCCUUCGUUUAUUUUCUUCUUUUCUCUGGUUUGCAAACAAUGGGAACAAUGAAGGCGUCCUGAAUAUUAUAAUUGAAAAUCGCUAAAAUUUAUUAUUAAUAUGGCGACGACUGGGACAGGAUUUACAAUUAAUUAUUAAUAAUAUUAAAACAUAGACGAAACGUGAUUCGUAUAAAAGAGGCUUAUAGACUGUUGCGUAGAAAUAAAAGAAAAAGUAUUAUUACGAUUACUAAGAUUUUUAUUCCCGCCGAGAUUGCGAACAGCAUUGUCAAACGAAUGUAUUUCUUAUUCUUUAUUCUUGAAUUCACGUAUUACGUAUUACUACAUUGAUUAUUUGUUCGCGCAAUAUGCGAUGUUUCCUGUCUUGUUUCUAGACUUUUUCUUUCUUUCGUCGAACGAGCAUUGUACGCGUAUUUCUUUAUUAUUAUUUACUUCUUUGUCAGAGAGGAAAAGCGUGACGAGGUCGAUUUUGAGUUAUCGAUCUUGUCGAUGAUCUUGUUAAAACUCCAGACACUCGUGGACUUCCUAUUAAGCGACCUAGACAACGCGUGAAUACGAAUACGAUGCAGAGCAGAUUGUAAAAAUAUACCCUAAUCGCAUGAUAUCACUGUUCGAUAUUUGUCAUAGCAUGCAAUAUUUCAAGAUCCUAGGGCAAAGAUGAUACAAAGAUUUUUUCAUUUACACGAGUAAUCGAAGGUCGAAGACGUAUUCCACAAAUGUGCGAGACUUGUUAGGAUUAUUUUCUUUGAAUUUUUCUUCUUUAUAUUCGAGGACUAGUGUAAGAAGAGUUUGCAUCGCUAUUGGAUCCGUCCUUUAUAUAAACGAAACAUCAAAAUUGGAUUCCCCUCGCUUGAAUACAAUUGAACAAUGGUAUCAUGGAUCGAGGGGCCAUCUAAGUUUAAACGAGAAUAUACAAUGCAGAUAUUUUUUUAUCGAGAAAAUAAAAAAAAAAAAAGAGAGGUAGGAAGGGAGGAGGAAAUGAAAAAGAUUUAUACUUAUAUUUUGCCAGAGCGCGUACUCGUUAGAGAUUUAAUCGAGGAACCGCGAUUCGCACGGAAAUACGGAGAAAUCUGUCUGCGCGUCGAGCAGAAAUAUAGCUAAGCAGAGAUGAAGAUGUGUGCAAUGAGUGGCAAAAA